GAUGAAGAACGUAGCGAAAUGCGAUAAGUAAUGUGAAUUGCAGAAUUCCGUGAGUCAUCGAAUCUUUGAACGCACAUUGCGCCCCCUGGAAUUCCGGGGGGCAUGCCUGUCCGAGCGUCAUUGCAACCUUCAAGCGCGGCUUGUGUGUUGGGUCUCGUCCCCCGUGGACGGGCCCGAAAGGCAGUGGCGGCGUCCCGACAUGGUGCCCGAGCGUAUGGGAAUCCUCUUCCGCUCGAAUCGGCCCAUGCGGCGCUGGUCGUAACCAAAUUUUUUACCGGUUGACCUCGGAUCAGGUAGGGAUACCCGCUGAACUUAAGCAUAUCAAUAAGCGGAGGA
rnacentral:misc_RNA from 1 species